rnacentral:rRNA from 1 species
UACAUGGGGUGCAAACGUUGCUCGGAAUUAUUGGGCGUAAAGCGCACGUAGGCGGUUUGUUAAGUCGGAUGUGAAAUCCCUCGGCUCAACUGAGGAAGUGCAUCCGAAACUGGCAGGCUUGAGUACUAAAGAGGGUCGCGGAAUUCCCGGUGUAGAGGUGAAAUUCGUAGAUAUCGGGAGGAACACCGGUGGCGAAGGCGGCGA